AACGAACGCUGGCGGCAGGCUUAACACAUGCAAGUCGAGCGCCCUGCUUGCAGGGAGCGGCAGACGGGUGAGUAACGCGUGGGAACGUGCCCUUCGGUACGGAAUAGCCCCGGGAAACUGGGUGUAAUACCGUAUACGACCUCCGGGUGAAAGAUUUAUCGCCGAAGGAUCGGCCCGCGUUAGAUUAGCUUGAUGGUGGGUAAAGGCCUACCAUGGCGACGAUCUAUAGCUGUUCUGAGAGGAAGAUCAGCCACACUGGGACUGAGACACGGCCCAGACUCCUACGGGAGGCAGCAGUGGGGAAUAUUGGACAAUGGGCGAAAGCCUGAUCCAGCCAUGCCGCGUGGAUGAAGAAGGCCCUAGGGUUGUAAAGUCCUUUCAAUGGUGAAGAUAAUGACGGUAACCAUACAAGAAGCCCCGGCUAAUUUCGUG
rnacentral:rRNA from 1 species